rnacentral:rRNA from 1 species
GACGAACGCUGGCGGCGUGCUUAACACAUGCAAGUCGAACGGAAAGGCCCUGCUUUUGUGGGGUGCUCGAGUGGCGAACGGGUGAGUAACACGUGAGUAACCUGCCCUUGACUUUGGGAUAACUUCAGGAAACUGGGGCUAAUACCGGAUAGGAGCUCCUGCUGCAUGGUGGGGGUUGGAAAGUUUCGGCGGUUGGGGAUGGACUCGCGGCUUAUCAGCUUGUUGGUGGGGUAGUGGCUUACCAAGGCUUUGACGGGUAGCCGGCCUGAGAGGGUGACCGGCCACAUUGGGGCUGAGAUACGGCCCAGACUCGUCCGGGAGGCAGCAGUGGGGAAUAUUGCACAAUGGGCGGAAGCCUGAUGCAGCAACGCCGCGUGCGGGAUGACGGCCUUCGGGUUGUAAACCGCUUUCGCCUGUGACGAAGCGUGAGUGACGGUAAUGGGUAAAGAAGCACCGGCUAACUACGUG